rnacentral:lncRNA from 10 species
UUAACAAAGAAGAGUAUUACCUUCUUAACCACUGAAUUUUAGGUCAUUUGUUGUGCAGCAAUCCAUAAAUGGAACAAGUAAAUGAGCUUGUUAAGUAAUAAGGAAAAACAAAAACAAAAUGCAGCAAGAAAGAUGGAUCACAAAAAUGUGAGAUAAGCCAAAGGUGACCAUUUCUCCAAGUUGCAAAGAUUGAAUCCUGGAUUGGCGUCCAUCAAAUGCAGGAACGCAUUGCUCGUGGCUCAGUUGCUGUGGGCUGGGAGUCUCAGAAGCUCUCCUAAGCAGCUGCCUGCCUACUUUUGGCUGGAGGUGAGUUUCCAUCUCUCUCUGGCCCCGCCUCAGCUGGUGCCAAACAUGUUCCUGAUUGCCUCGGAAGAACUGCCUUUGAAAUUUAACAUUGGCAUUGGGAUAGACAGACAAGAAGAGACAAAGAAAAAC